rnacentral:lncRNA from 1 species
UCCUGACCUCAGGUGAUCCACACACCUUAGCCUCCCAAAGUGCUAGGAUUACAGGAGUGACCCACUGCAUCCGGCCUUUUCACAGUGAAUUUGGAGGAGCUAGCCACUGACAGGAAGGAGGAAGGCGCUCCAUACAGCAAAUGAAAUUCAGAACUCUGGCCAGCCCAUCGAGAAGAGGGUAACAGGCCUGCUGGGACAAGUUGAGAGAAGACGAAUGAAGUGAGGACGCUGCACACCAUAAUCUGAAAUAGUCCUAGCGGUGGAAAAGAAGCAGCCUGCAGACGAGGCGGGCAGUGGGAAGUUAUGCUCUGGAUCAUCAGAAAAAUACAAAGGCAUAGCCACAAUUCAUACUAGUGGAGAGACCUCAACAGAGAUGGACCCACCCAAGCCUAGCUUGGAACUUGGACUCGGAUGGAACUUGGACUGCACAGACUGUGUGGCCCCACCCACUGGGGUUGAGGCUUCAAUAUAUGAAUUUCAGGGGGACACAUUUCAACCCAUAACUGCUUAAGAUGAGGCUCACAGGCUGGACUGAGGACUCCUCUCAGGGUGCAGCACAUAGGAAAC